rnacentral:rRNA from 1 species
CCAAUAGCGUAUAUUAAAGUUGUUGCAGUUAAAAAGCUCGUAGUUGAAUUUCGGGAUCAGUAGGUUGGUCAUGCCUCUGGUAUGCACUGGUCUCACUGGUUCCUCCUUCCUGAUGAACCGUAAUGCCAUUAAUUUGGUGUUGCGGGGAAACUGGACUGUUACUUUGAAAAAAUUAGAGUGUUUAAAGCAAGCUAACGCUUGAAUACAUUAGCAUGGAAUAAUGAAAUAGGACGAUCGAUCCUAUUUUGUUGGUUUCUAGGAUUGACGUAAUGAUUAAUAGGGAUAGUUGGGGGCAUUAGUAUUCAAUUGUCAGAGGUGAAAUUCUUGGAUUUAUUGAAGACUAACUACUGCGAAAGCAUUUGCCAAGGAUGUUUUCAUUAAUCAAGAACGAAAGUUAGGGGAUCGAAGACGAUCAGAUACCGUCGUAGUCUUAACCAUAAACUAUGCCGACUAGGGAUCGGAUGAUGUUAAUUUUUUAAUGACUCAUUCGGCGCCUUACG